GAUGAACGCUGGCGGCGUGCCUAAUACAUGCAAGUCGAGCGAACAGACGAGGAGCUUGCUCCUCUGACGUUAGCGGCGGACGGGUGAGUAACACGUGGAUAACCUACCUAUAAGACUGGGAUAACUUCGGGAAACCGGAGCUAAUACCGGAUAAUAUAUUGAACCGCAUGGUUCAAUAGUGAAAGACGGUUUUGCUGUCACUUAUAGAUGGAUCCGCGCCGCAUUAGCUAGUUGGUAAGGUAACGGCUUACCAAGGCAACGAUGCGUAGCCGACCUGAGAGGGUGAUCGGCCACACUGGAACUGAGACACGGUCCAGACUCGUACGGGAGGCAGCAGUAGGGAAUCUUCCGCAAUGGGCGAAAGCCUGACGGAGCAACGCCGCGUGAGUGAUGAAGGUCUUCGGAUCGUAAAACUCUGAUAUUAGGGAAGAACAAAUGUGUAAGUAACUAUGCACGUCUUGACGGUACCUAAUCAGAAAGCCACGGCUAACUACGUG
rnacentral:rRNA from 1 species